UACGUAGGGGGCAAGCGUUGUCCGGAAUUAUUGGGCGUAAAGCGCGCGCAGGCGGUUAAUUAAGUUGGGUGUUUAAGCCCGGGGCUCAACCCCGGUUCGCAUCCAAAACUGGUUGACUUUGAGUGUAGGAGAGGAAAGUGGAAUUCCACGUGUAGCGGUGAAAUGCGUAGAGAUGUGGAGGAACACCAGUGGCGAAGGCGACUUUCUGGCCUAUAACUGACGCUGAGGCGCGAAAAGCGUGGGGGAGCAAAACAGGG
rnacentral:rRNA from 1 species